ensembl:lncRNA
AAACUUUUGCAAGAGGCUUUAGUCAUAUCGCUGGCAAUACCAGACGAGAGUGACAGCCCGGGGAGUCAUUAGGGCUGCAUGAUGAAACGGGACGUUACGGGCGGACGCUAGAGAGCCAGGUGUGAAAUCCAUCCCAAGAAGGAAGCCUCAGGUCCAGACAAAAGAGAAGAUUUGAGCGUGGGAUGGUGAUGGACGCCUACAAUCCCAGCUCCGUGGGAGCCAGAAAGUUGUCUGCAGGAGACUAGAAUCUUGAAGCGCAAGCCCCCAAUCUGGAUCCAACUACACCUUAAUAGGCUGCCCCAGAAGUCGCACAUUUCCAGAAAGAACAACUUCUCCCUUGCUUUUUAGCUGUGUGAACCUACACAUCUCUGAACCUGUUUCCUGUUGUAUCAAACCGUGCAGUAAAGUUUACUCCACAGGGGUACUGUGGGGACGAGAGCUAAGGCCCGAAAACCCCUUAACGAGGGAUUGAACUCGAGUCCUUGUGCCUGUGAGACAGGCGGCGGAACCACUGAGCUAAAUCCCUGGCCUUCCAGUUUGUUUUUUUAAAAACGAUUUAUUUGACAACUUUCACUUAGUGUAAUAAAAAGA